GAGAGAGAGAGAGAGAGAGAAGGGUGGGUGGCUAUGAAUAUUUACUUGCAAAAUUUUUAGGCUUGACUGAUUUUGGAGAAAAAAAAUAAAUCUAUCUCUCUUAUUAAUUUAUGAAAAGAAAUGGAGAUCCGUUUUCUAGACUGUCCUCUUAGCUUCUCCAAAAGACUAGGUUUUGUCAUGAUCUCAUCAAGAGUAUACAAAAUGGCAACCAUCAUAACUUGGAUCCACAGUAACAAGCAUGGCAGUCCCUCCAAAGGAACAAGUGCCACCAGCCACUUUUGUCCUUUGCCAAUAACUAUUAAAAGCAUAGGAAGCAUGUGCAAACAAUGUAUUGGGUUCAAAGCAUGACCCAUUUGGCUGAAUAGAGUCGCAAUCAGCACCGGAUGCGCAAGCGUAGUUCAUAGCUUCUUGAAUGAUUGGGUCUGGCACUGAAGGCUUUGCUACACACCAAAGGGCCUGUGGUGGGCCUGUUCUCGGAGGUGGUGGCCCUAUUGGUGGCGGAUAUACCACCGGCGGUAGAAAAAUUGUAGGGCUCGGAACAUAGCCUGUUGGAGAUGGAACAAAAGUUGGUGGACUAAACUCGGGAUAAGGUGGGCUCAGAACUGACCCUGGUGGGCUUGGCAUAUAAGUUAUUGGACUGGGUACAGUUUCUGGUGGGCCUGGAAUGAGGGUGGGUGGGCUAGGGACUAUUUCAGGUGGAUUUGGGAUAGGUGUAGUUUCCGGUGGGCUCGGUACCACACCAAUUGGGCCUGGAGGUGGACUUGGAAUUGGAAGAGUAGGUGGUAUAUAAGAGAAGGGUGAGGGGGGUGGCAAAUUAGGAGUUGAUCCUGAUGGAGUUGGAAUUGUUGUGGAAGGGGGAAGAGGGGUAUUUGGGGGAUAAAUGCAAAAUGGAGGGGCAUUUUCGGGCAAUGGAUUUGGUGACAAGGAAUCAUAAGGUGGCAAAGAAAAUGGUGAACUCACAUAAGGGUCAGUGUUAGAUGGAUUCAUAGUUUCUUUCUGGACAAGUAAUGAAGCCAAAUCAAAAUGCUUUGUUACUUUGAAAUUUUUUAGGUGUUGGAUUAUUGAACUUGUUGGGUGCAUUGGACCUCUAAGUAGAUGCAUAGAUUUUCUUGCUUCACAGUUAUUGGCAGCAAGAGAAAGAUGGAGCAGAAAUAUUGCAAGGCAAACUCUAUUGCAGUAGAAGCGAAUAUUACUUUCCAUGGCUAUGAAAGAAACCAGAAGCAGCUCAAAGCUAGCUUAGUGAAUGUGGAUGACAACACCAGAGAAGACACAAAGCAGAAGCUUAUAUACAUAUAGAUAGAGAAGGAGGACAGCCUCGGACAAGCCCUAGAAUAGUUGAAAGGCAGGGCAAGCACGAAAGAACAAGUGGGUUAGGUUUGGACAUAAAGAUUG
rnacentral:misc_RNA from 1 species